GACGAACCGUGCAAACGUUGUUCGGAAUCACUGGGCUUAAAGGGCGCGUAGGUGGAUGAGCAAGUCUGUGGUGAAAUCCCUCGGCUUAACCGGGGAACUGCAUCUGAUACUGGAUGGCUUGAGUUCGGGAGAGGGAUGCGGAAUUCCAGGUGUAGCGGUGAAAUGCGUAGAUAUCUGGAGGAACACCGGUGGCGAAGGCGGCAUCCUGGACCGGUAUUGACGCUGAGGCGCGAAAGCCAGGGGAGCAAACGGG
rnacentral:rRNA from 1 species